rnacentral:rRNA from 1 species
GAUGAACGCUGGCGGCGUGCCUAAUACAUGCAAGUCGAGCGAACAGACGAGGAGCUUGCUCCUCUGACGUUAGCGGCGGACGGGUGAGUAACACGUGGAUAACCUACCUAUAAGACUGGGAUAACUUCGGGAAACCGGAGCUAAUACCGGAUAAUAUAUUGAACCGCAUGGUUCAAUAGUGAAAGACGGUUUUGCUGUCACUUAUAGAUGGAUCCGCGCCGCAUUAGCUAGUUGGUAAGGUAACGGCUUACCAAGGCAACGAUGCGUAGCCGACCUGAGAGGGUGAUAGGCCACACUGGAACGGAGCCACGGUCCAGACGCCUACGGGAGGCAGCAGUAGGGAAUCUGCCGCAAUGGGCGAAAGCCUGACGGAGCAACGCCGCGUGAGUGAUGAAGGUCUUCGGAGCGUAAAACUCUGUUAUUAGGGAAGAACAAAUGUGUAAGUAACUAUGCACGUCUUGACGGUACCUAAUCAGAAAGCCACGGCUAACUACGUG